AUGCAUAAAAAAUCAAAAAAGGAUCAAUAAUAUUCAUGAGAUCAUAAACCCACAAUUCAUUUGCGAAUUCCGAAGCUUACUCGUUUGGCUGCCACGGAAUUGACCGUCAGAUUUUCAUUCUUAAAUUCUAGAGAAUAGAAACUUGCGUAGCCCCAAAUCCCAUGCCCUCACUCAUCAUUCUCCUCGAUUUCAGUAACUCUCCUUGUCCCGACGCGCUCGUCUCCCUCCCCAGAUGCCUACCACCAGCGCCACCAAAUCUCCCAUCCACCACCGCCGCCACCAUGAAUCCCGCCUUCUCGGCCGCCAGCGACGCACCCCCUAUGGGUGAAUAGCUCCUUCCUGGACUCAUCUUCUCUCAUCCUCUCUACUCUAGAUUCCACGACGCAUCUUCCCUCGUUCAAUGUCAUGUCACCUCCGGUGACCGCAUCGUCGUCGAGAUCUCAGCUCUGCACACCUCUCUCUAGCCACCGGACCUGGAUAGUGGUGAGACUUCUUGACGACUCCUCCACCAGCCCAUGAUCGGUCAGCUCCCCUCCCCCUCCGUGGUGUCUUUGUUCUAUCCUACCUCGUACCAAACUAGUCUGGUCUGGUAAUCACCGACUCAUUGGUGAUAGAAGAAUACUAGUUGCUAUUACAAUGAGAAGAUAGUGUUAUUUCUUUGGACCAUAGAUGGAUGUUGUGGUGUCUUGUUGUUUCAAUUCCAUUGCCGUGCUGAUAGAAGAUAACUGGUGGUCGCCAUGUCUUGCUGAUUUAAUUAAACUAUCACUGAUGGAUGCUCAUGAGGUAGGAGGGAAUGGGAAACACUACUUGAGAGUUGAGAGAAACAGUUUUCUAAGUAUUACAAAUCGGUCUCAUGUUUUGUCAGGGAACAACUCAAUCAAUUCAAGAUGCAUGCAUGCAUAUUAUUUUGUGAUAGUUAAAGGGCUUCUCAGUCUAGUUUCCAUAGUUCUACACUAGUGUAAGAACGCAAGCUUCUUGUUACAAAACAGUGACUUGAUCUUACUGAUUUUUUUGUUUUAUCCACGAGAGUUAAAUAUAGGUCUAGCUGAUUGUUCUGCUCGUGUUCCAGCUAAUUGUGCAAUAACAUUAGAGGAUCUCAAGCUAAAGUUUGUCGUUCACUUAUGUGUGGUUAAAUGACAGAUGAGUUAUAGGAUCGAUCCCUGGCUAUCUUUGUUGACAUUUAUCUGCACUUUAUUCAUACGAAAACACCAUUGGAGAUCAGAUCAGUAAACUAAACAAGGUUCGUUUCAUCGAGCUAGUAUAUUUGCGUUUGUGCGACAAGGGCAAAAGCUCCUCACCUUUGUUUGUACCCGUGGAGAGAGAGAGAGAGAGAGUCCUUAUGGUGAAAGGAUGAAGAAGAAAUGGAUCCUCAAGCAAAUCAACCAAUGAAGUUCAGUAGGUUACAAGACGAAGAUAAGAAAGCGGGCAUCGACGAUUCUUUCUGAGCUAGAAGAUGAAUGUUGGAAGUCUAUGGCAUCAUGUUCAAGUCUCUUCCUUGACUUUGCUUAAUAUAAGCUUUGAAGCUUCAAACUUUUGUUUUGCUUGCGUCGGAUGUGCGUUUGUACUUUGUGGAUCUGAAAAUGGCAGUUACAAUUUGAUUAUGUGGAUUCGUGCUUCAUG